rnacentral:rRNA from 1 species
UACAGAGGUCCCAAGCGUUGUUCGGAUUCACUGGGCGUAAAGGGUGCGUAGGUGGUGAGGUAAGUCCGAUGUGAAAGCUCCGAGCUCAACUCGGAAAUUGCAUUAGAAACUACCUUGCUAGAGGGUUGGAGGGGGGACUGGAAUUCUCGGUGUAGCAGUGAAAUGCGUAGAUAUCGAGAGGAACACCAGUGGCGAAGGCGAGUCCCUGGACAGCUCCUGACACUGAGGCACGAAAGCUAGGGGAGCAAACAGG